rnacentral:rRNA from 1 species
UACGUAGGGUGCUAGCGUUAAUCGGAAUUACUGGGCGUAAAGCGUGCGCAGGCGGCUUUGCAAGACAGAUGUGAAAUCCCCGGGCUCAACCUGGGAACUGCAUUUGUGACUGCAAGGCUAGAGUACGGCAGAGGGGGAUGGAAUUCCGCGUGUAGCAGUGAAAUGCGUAGAUAUGCGGAGGAACACCAAUGGCGAAGGCAAUCCCCUGGGCCUGUACUGACGCUCAUGCACGAAAGCGUGGGGAGCAAACAGG